rnacentral:piRNA from 1 species
UGAAGGCCGAAUCAGACACAAAGGU